GUGCAUUUCCAGGGGGAAAGAAGGGGCUUAGUGAAGGAGAAUUUCCACCAUGGUUUCUCUUCCCUUGCCUGAGAACCCUCUGCCGCAUGAUGUGGAAUCCUUUUGUAAGGACCAGGAAGCGGAAGUGAGGUACUUACUCCAGGAGCAGCUCUAGUCCAGCCACCACAUGUCUGGGCUUUGGUCAAGUCCUUACUACUCAAAGUAUAGGCUGUGGCAUGGACCUGGGGCUUGCUAGAAAUGUGACAUUUCAGCUCCACUGACACCUGCUGGGUCAAAGCCUGCAUUUUAAUUGAAGUUUCAGAGCUCUGUAGGAAGUGACACAGUACUGGAUGCUGGGAAUAUAAACUGUUUGGCUCUGUCUUCCUGGAGCUGCAAUCUGAAGUGGGGAAAUCCUGAUGAAUUCACUGAGAACUCGUUCCACAGCGAGAGCAGUAUAGAGCUGUGCACUGAGUUACACAACUAUCAGACAGAUUUGCAUUCUUUCAUGAGAGAGCAAUGCUGACCAAUGGUGGAACUGUGUGAUGUUGCAGCCUUGGGAGGAGGCACAAGGAUAAUUUUGAUGCUGAUGGUCUCUGUAGAUUCAACCUGCUCUUGGAUCUUUAACAUACUGUGGCACUAGAAAUCAAGAAGUUACCAUUAACUGCAUGGUCACCUGACUUGUAGGAGGUCAAGGAAAUAAAGAUGUGAACAGACAAAAAACCCCAAGAGGGGCUCAGAGAGGGAGUGCUGAGAGCAUCUGUUCUGAGAAACUGCUGUUCAAAAUGGAAGGAAAUACACAAAGCCAAGAGGAACCUCCGUCGUGAGAAGAGCUGAGAGGUUAAUGCUAUUCUGACAGUAGAUGCUUCAUCGUUACUCCUAGUUGUGCAUAACUGGCCCUUAGAGCUUGUACCUAUCCCAGGACACAUUGUUAUUUGCUGGUGCUGAUACCAAUAAAAACAUCUUCCAUUUGGAAUAUGAUCAUUACAUCACAAGUCACAUCAUGGGCGAGAUGAAGAACAAUGCCUGUAGGACUCUUAGAAAAGCCAUCUCCAUGAGCCACUGCCUCCUUCUCAGCACCAGUAUUCUGGAAAGAGCACACCUCAUAAAGUCCUCCUGAAGGGCAGAGAUGCUGGGGAAUUUAUCCACCAACUCUUUCCCCUGUGGGCUCAGAGGAGCUCCUGAACAUGGACAUCAGCUUCCUGUCACUGGAACAGAGCCUUCUAAAAGAAAUGGUUCAUUUUGGCUCAUGAUUUGGGAGGUUAUGCUCAUCACACAUUUGGGCCUGAGAGGAGGUAGAACAUUGCACUGAGAGUGCAUGGUAAAGCAAAGCUGCUCACCUCAGGGCCAGGAAGUGAAAAAGAGGGGGUGGGGUUACACAGUCCUCUCUGGGACUCUAAGCAACGUAAGGACCUGGGACUUGGCCCGACCUGGAGUUCCCACUGUCUCCCAGUGUGCCAGCCAGGGACCAAGCCUUUAACACAUGGGGCACUUUGGAGGACACUCAAUAUCUGAACUACAGUGAUGAGACAAGCCUGCCCUGUCCAGAGAACACCCUCAGGCAGGGCAAGGACAGAGGCUUUUGGCUGUGGGCAACCUGCCUGUUGGGACCACAGGAUGAAGGGAUGUUGUAAGGCAUAGGCAGCUCUGCUGCAGGGACUGUGCCUUCCCCUUUUGGCAUCCUCAGUACUGAGACCACAUCUGGAAGUUCAUGAACACUCAGCAAAUGUUCAAUGAACACAGGAAUGGGUGAGGAAUGCAUGCACAGAAAGCUUAUUUUUUUCAAUUGUUAUUGUUUUGUUAGUACACGUUUGCAGUACAUAAUAAUUACUUUCCUUGUGGAGCGUUGCUACAUCUCAAGGUGUGCGUGACACAUCUCAAUUCUUUUUUCAUCCCCUUAUCCUCCUCCUCCUCACUCCUUCCAUCUCAUGCUCCCCCUCCUUAUUUGCAAAAGAUCUAUCUCCCUAUUUCCUACUAUCUAUCUUUUAUUUUGCACUUUACUUAUAUUUCAAGUUUCACAUGUAAGAGAAACUGUAUGAUAUUUAAGCUUGUGUAUCUGGUUCACCUCAAUCAACAUUAUGGUCUCAAGAUGUAUCCGUUUUGGGCUGUUGUACCACCCCCACCAGGACAGAGGAGGUGAGCUGCACAGGCACCAGCAGCAACAUCCCUCUCCCCCCCCCCCCCCGUCUAAAUGAGAGACAUGUAAAGAAGUCUCAAAAACAGACUUCCAGAUCACCUACAGCAACCCCAAAGGGAAACAAAAUGGAACACUCUGAUACUCAACCUGGACUCCCUGAACUGGCAACAAAAGAGGAUCUGUAAAAAAUUACAUUAGAAAUAAUUUCUCAGAUAACAGCAGAGAUUGUGCUCAUAGUGCAACACAUGAUUAAUAAAUCUAGAGAG
rnacentral:lncRNA from 1 species